GAUGAAGAACGCAGCGAAAUGCGAUAAGUAGUGUGAGUUGCAGAAUUCAGUGAAUCAUCGAAUCUUUGAACGCACAUUGCGCCCCUUGGUAUUCCAUGGGGCAUGCCUGUUCGAGCGUCAUUUGUACCUUCAAGCUUUGCUUGGUGUUGGGUGUUUGUCUCGCCUUUGCGUGUAGACUCGCCUUAAAAUAAUUGGCAGCCGGCGUAUUGAUUUCGGAGCGCAGUACAUCUCGCGCUUUGCACUCAUAACGACAGCGUCCAAAAGUACAUUUUACACUCUUGACCUCGGAUCAGGUAGGGAUACCCGCUGAACUUAAGCAUAUCAUAAGCGGAGGA
rnacentral:misc_RNA from 1 species